UCCGGAUCAAGAAGGAGGAGGGAGAGUUGGUUCGAAAUCCAGAAAAGAUCCAGGGGACACACAGAGAUUAGAGAGUAUUGAGAGAUGGGGUGGGCAUGGGCGAUCUACGAGAGCGUCAUCGUUUUGGGGUCACUGAUCCUACUGGGUUGGACGGGGCUAUGGUUCCUCAACCAAAGGCUCUACAAGGAGUACGAAGAGAAGCGCGUACUAGUCCAGAUCAUCUUCAGCGUCGUCUUCGCUUUCUCUUGCAAUCUCUUCCAACUCGUCCUCUUUGAGAUCAUCCCUAUUCUCUCCAAAGAGGCAAGAUGGAUGAACUGGAAGCUGGAUUUGUUUUGUUUGAUACUGUUGCUGGUUUUCAUGCUGCCUUAUUAUCAUUGUUACUUGAUGCUUUGCAAUAACGGUUUAAGGAAGGAACGAGCUGCACUUGGAGCCAUCUUGUUUUUGCUGGCAUUUCUCUAUGCCUUUUGGCGCAUGGGCAUUCACUUUCCUAUGCCUUCACCUGCUAAAGGUUUCUUCACCAUGCCGCAAUUGGUCAGUAGAAUUGGGGUCAUUGGUGUUACUGUCAUGGCUGUCCUAUCUGGUUUUGGAGCUGUAAAUUUGCCAUACAGUUACUUGUCGCUCUUCAUUAGAGAGAUUGAGGAGACAGAGAUCAAGGCAUUGGAAAGACAACUAAUGCAAUCAAUUGAGACUUGUGUUGCAAAGAAGAAGAAAAUUAUUCUUGGUCAAAUGGAGAUGGAACGCAUUCAAGGAUCAGAGGAGAUAAAGGGUAGAUCCUUUUUUAAACGAAUUGUUGGCACAGUUGUACGAUCUGUGCAUGAAGACCAAAGGGAACAAGACAUCAAAAGCAUGGAAGCAGAGGUACAAGCUUUAGAAGAGCUCUCAAAGCAGCUAUUUUUGGAAAUCUAUGAGCUUCGGCAAGCGAAGGAGGCUGCUGCUUUUUCUCGAACCUGGAGGGGUCACAUGCAGAAUCUACUUGGCUAUGCCUGUUCAGUCUAUUGUGUGUACAAAAUGAUUAAGUCUUUGCAAAGCGUUGUUUUCAAGGAGGCUGGUUCAGUUGAUCCUGUGACUAUGACCAUAAGCAUAUUCUUGCAGUUCUUUGAUAUUGGAAUCAAUGCUGCAUUAUUGUCGCAGUAUAUUUCGUUGUUAUUCAUUGGAAUUUUGAUCGUUAUAUCAGUUCGAGGAUUCCUAACAAAUCUAAUGAAGUUCUUUUUUGCAGUUUCCAGAGUUGGUAGUGGAUCUUCAAGUAAUGUUGUACUUUUUCUGUCUGAGAUUAUGGGAAUGUAUUUUGUUUCCUCAAUUCUUUUGAUAAGGAAAAGCUUAGCAACUGAAUACAGGAUCAUCAUAACAGAUGUCUUAGGAGAUAUUCAGUUUGACUUUUACCACCGUUGGUUUGAUGCGAUCUUUGUGGCCAGUGCUUUCCUUUCUCUGCUUUUGCUUUCUGCACAUUAUACAUCUCGCCAAGCUGACAAACAUCCAAUUGAUUAAUGUAAUUUGUGGAAAAUUACUUGUACAAUGUUACGGUUCGUGGCCAAAACAGGUACAAUAUUCAGGAUUAAUAUUGCAGGUAAAAAGUUCAUCAGUAAUGUUGAGAAAAGUUAUUCAUCACCUUAGGACAAUUUUUUACGUGAGCAAUCAAAGGACGAUGGUUAGUGAAGGGCAAUACAAUGAAGCAUUAUCUGACAUUGGUCUGAUUUUUGGGUGGAAUGCUCGUGUGUAUAAAUUUUUUUUUUUUUUGGGUAUGAAAGAAAGUAGUAUCCAAUUACUAUGAUGAAUGAUUUGUAAUAUACGGUUUCUUAAAUUCAUUAAUUUCAAAAUGGCCAUUCUUUCAAUGUGUAUGAAAUAAUAGAAAAGAUGAGUAUGUGAAAAGCCUUGUAGCUCGGUUGGUUGAUA